rnacentral:rRNA from 1 species
UAGGGAAUCUUCGGCAAUGGACGCAAGUCUGACCGAGCAACGCCGCGUGAGUGAAGAGGGUUUUCGGAUCGUAAAACUCUGUUGUUAGAGAAGAACAAGGACGUUAGUAACUGAACGUCCCCUGACGGUAUCUAACCAGAAAGCCACGGCUAACUACGUGCCAGCAGCCGCGGUAAUACGUAGGUGGCAAGCGUUGUCCGGAUUUAUUGGGCGUAAAGCGAGCGCAGGCGGUUUCUUAAGUCUGAUGUGAAAGCCCCCGGCUCAACCGGGGAGGGUCAUUGGAAACUGGGAGGCUUGAGUGCAGAAGAGGAGAGUGGAAUUCCAUGUGUAGCGGUGAAAUGCGUAGAUAUAUGGAGGAACACCAGUGGCGAAGGCGGCUCUCUGGUCUGUAACUGACGCUGAGGCUCGAAAGCGUGGGGAGCAAACAGG